GGCAGGUAGCUCAGUGGUUGAGUACUUGCCUAAUAUGUAUGAGAUCCUGGGUUUGAUCCCCAGCAAUGCCC
rnacentral:tRNA from 1 species